rnacentral:rRNA from 1 species
CCUACGGGGGGCUGCAGUGGGGAAUAUUGGACAAUGGGGGGAACCCUGAUCCAGCCAUGCCGCGUGUGUGAGGAAGGCCCUCGGGUUGUAAAGCACUUUCAGUGAGGAAGAACGCCUGGUGGUUAAUACCCAUCAGGAAAGACAUCACUCACAGAAGAAGCACCGGCUAACUCCGUGCCAGCAGCCGCGGUAAUACGGAGGGUGCGAGCGUUAAUCGGAAUUACUGGGCGUAAAGCGCGCGUAGGUGGCUUGAUAAGCCGGUUGUGAAAGCCCCGGGCUCAACCUGGGAACGGCAUCCGGAACUGUCAAGCUAGAGUGCAGGAGAGGAAGGUAGAAUUCCCGGUGUAGCGGUGAAAUGCGUAGAGAUCGGGAGGAAUACCAGUGGCGAAGGCGGCCUUCUGGACUGACACUGACACUGAGGUGCGAAAGCGUGGGUAGCAAACAGGAUUAGAUACCCCUGUAGUC